AUACAAAUUUCCCGUAGGACGGGAAGGUGUCAAGGUUUUGAAUUAAAUUAAACAUUGCACUUGUCCCGGCCUAUGGGCGGUUUGUCA
rnacentral:pre_miRNA from 1 species